rnacentral:Y_RNA from 1 species
GGAACUGGUUCAAGUGCAGCGGUGUCUACAAUGAAUUGAUCACAACCAGUUACAGAUUUUUUUGUUCAUUCUCCACUCCUGAUGCUUCACUUUACUAGCCUAAA